UGUCGAUGAAGAGCGCAGCCAACUGUGUGAAUUAAUGUGAACUGCAUUCUGCUUUGAACAUCGACAUCUUGAACGCAUAUUGCGGCCACGGGUUAGCCUGUGGCCACGCCUGUCCGAGGGUCG
rnacentral:rRNA from 2 species